AAUGCAGCACUGUUGUGUUUCCUCCUACAGUACUUUCAAAUCACAUCAUCAAAAGUCAUUAUCGUUCAGAGAUUACUAGAAUGAAGGAGGACUGUAAAAUAAGACUUGAUGAUUUGAAAAUGAGAAGCUAAAAACUUUUGGAUUUUUGGAGAUGAUUUGGACAGGAUUGAAAAUAAAUAAAUGGACUACUAUUUUGAAUCAAGAAAAGACAACCAGAACACACAACCUAGGAAUUUUGGAGGGUCAAACUUGCUGCAAAUUUUCUAAAGAUGCAAUGCAAGACGCUGCAGCUGAUGAGCUGUCAUCUAGUCAAGCUCAGAUUUCCAUCCAAUGUGAGGAGAACUCUGAGGGUCAAGAUGGAAUAGUUCUCUUUGACACGGAAGACUUUCCUUUAGUCAACAUCCACUGUCCGACCAGUGCAGGAGAUCUUCCUGAAGAUUAAUAUAAACAGCAGUAGAGCUCUGCAGAUCUCGUAAUCAGUUAUUCGUGGGUUUUAGCUUCAGAAUGCUAUUGUAACUUAAGAGUUUAUGCAUAUUGGUGUGGAUUAACCAUUACAGAAACAUAAAAUGAUCUAAUAAAUUCGUUGUGUCCCUAAUGUCUUGUGUCUCUAAUAAGAUCGGUCACAAACAUGAUCCCUGAACAAUCUAAUCUGUUACGUCUUAUUACAUCACUGUCAUACAUUGUCUGUAACACAUUUCUUCUCCAUCUUCAUCUUUCAGUCAUUUUCUCCUAAAGAAACUUUUAAGCCUCUUGAACAUGUCCAGAAUUCUCUGCACAGCCAUAUGUAAUCCAGCACUGAGAAUGCACUAAUUCAUGCAACCCCGUUUGAAGCAACCAUACAAAUAAUUUCAAUUAUGUUUGAUGUUUAACAAGUUGUCUACAUGACGCAAGGAGUGACUCAUUAAACAUGUAAACAAAGUUGUUGUUAUUGAAUAAGUCACCUAUUCUGUCUCCUAAACUCCUGAAACUCCUGGUGUAUCGUAUUUUAAAGCAGUCAAUGCAAUUUGGGAAAGAAAUCAAUAAAAUCUGUAUGUGUGCGAAAA